rnacentral:piRNA from 1 species
UUCCUUUUGUGCAGUUCAUAAUGUGUAG